GUGGACGGAAACCCCAGUAAAUAAACAGUCCCGGACAGCCAGCGGGUAUCCUGCAACGAAGCAAUACCGACGACGCAAAUUGUUCAGCCGCAUCUAAAUAGUUGCUUUACAAAAACCCAUACCCAACACAUCACAUACCAACCUCCCCUCCCAAAACAACAUCUCACUCCGGGCCGGACUACGAUGUAAUACGGGCCCAAGAGUCAGCCUGGCUGGGGGCCCGGAUCAAAAACUAGCCCAGUCUCGAACUGUGGGCUCAGAAAUAUGGUGACCCCCUGUUCUAACUAUCGCCUUACCCGGGCAUCGCGGAUCUCUGCCCGGACAGACCUUUCCCCUUCUCCGCAACUCGUAGGACCAAAUAUGGACAAACAAAUUAACCAAAAACAAAAUACAGAGACGGGAACUCUCAAAAAACUCACGGAAAUGCUGAACACUGGUUCCAACAUCCGCACCAGCACGUCCUGAAAGGCCCGCAUCCCAAAUUGGGGAUGUCGGAUGGCAGGGAGCUUCUGCGCCUAAAACAGCGGUAGGCAUAGCCAAGGCGCUCUGGGCACCCGCUGGCGCAAAUAAAUAGACAUACGCGAAAAGGCGGACUGCCGCCCAGACUCUGCGCUCUGAUGCUAGGAUCAACAUUGCCACACCUUCACCUGAAUGGCUGAAGAAGGUAGAAUGCGCAAGGAAGGUGCUUUAUAACUACGGGCAGGUCUUCCCGGACCAUCGGCGAAGAGAUCCAAGAUCCAGCCAUCGGUCUCUUUAGCCAAGAUCACCAAGGACAAAAUAUACAAGGGCGACUCCAACGCUGCUGGAAGCUCUGCCGACAACCUAGCCGAGCAGGUGCUUGCUGAGGAGUUGGAGGCACCCGGUGGGCCGGAGGACGGCUACUCCAGCGAUUCUUCGCUGAGCACAGAGAUGCGAGCGCUUAUUGCUUCGCCUGACCGAUGGCGGAGCCGACCUGGUCCUAGUUCAGGAACCUUGAGUAGUAGGAGGCAAGGUUGCUGGACUAGGACCAAAGGAAUACAAGCUAAUGCUUGACCCCAAAAAGCAACGGAGAUAACACCACAUACUAUUGGCCUACUUGACCUUUAAAAUGGAAAACCCCCCAGAUGCGCUGGUCAGAGGACUGGCAGAGGAAUGCGAAAAGCUCAAGAAAGUAUGGUAAUAGGCUGUGACGCCAACGCGCAUCACUUUAGUGGGUUUGCCCAAAUAAUAACGACAGAGGUCAGUCUUUAUUUGAUUUUAUUUAAAUUCGAACCUAUUAUUAUGCAAUAGGGGCAAUGUCCCUACCUUUAUAACCAAAACCUGCCAAACGAUCAUAGAUCUAACGUUGGUAUCGGAUUCACUCGUAGGCGCAGUCAAAAACUGGGCAGUCUCUGACGAGCAUUUUUUUUCAGACCAUGUAUUCAUAGAAACAAUAUUCCUUGAUUCGCCUUGAUUCAGUUUCGCUUACUCCAGACAAGCCGACUGGCACAGAUACAAAUAAGUUCUGACGAAUAUCCUCCCCAUGGAACAGCCAAAUAGCAUUCUACACCCACAGGAGCUGGAUAGAACAGAAGAUAAAUUCACAGAAGCAUGCAACACUGCCUUCAAAGUUGCAUGCCCCACAGGGAAACAAAGUGUGAAGAAAAAACCCCCCUGGCGGACCCAACAAUUAUCAAUCCUCAGAACCAACUGCAGAGGCCCGUUUAGCAGAGCAAAGGCGGGAAAUAAGGACACUAACUGGCAGAACUACAAGCAUGAACUGGCUUCUUACAAUAAGGUCAUAAUAUGGGCGAAACGAACUGCAUGAUAGACCUUCCGCUCUGAUAUAGAAAAAACGACUAAUGCCGCAAGGCUAAGGAAAAUACUCUCUGUUCAUCUCGUCAUGCAACAUCGCUGUGUUGGCAUCACUAGUCGAUGUUUCCGAACCGGUCAAUAACCGCUCUCUUUUCUUACGAGAACCUAUAGACUAAGCUUACGCCAAGUUAGAUUAGCAUCCGAGAAUAAAAAGUUAAACCCGAAUCAAGGAAA